GUGUCAAACCUGCAACUGCACAGAGGUUAUCAAACUCAUCCUUAAUACAUGCCGCCGUAAGGAAAUCUGAACAUGGGUAUGCCAUGGCACGUGUCGUGUCCGUCUCGUGGAACAACUCCGGUGGCACUAUAUCAUCAUUGAACUUGUCCUCACAUUAGAGGAUGAAGUUGCAGCUCUAGUUAGUCUAUCAGUAGGCUCGAAUCUCUUCUUCCCAAGUCAUCCUUUUGCUUUUCCAAACAAACUCAUUUCUAAAUUUUUUGGUUCAUCACAAAAAUGGAGGUUUAAGCAAAAAUGAGUUCGAGCAAACUAUUCUACUCACUUCCCUGAUGCAUAAACUUGCAUCAAAACUUCACAAAUAAAUUUCUAAACAUGCAUGCAAGCUCAUAUGAACAGCACCAAGAACUCCUAAAUACUCACAAAUACGACCACCAAUCAAAAUUUUAAUUGGAGGAGUGGAGGAGUCACAUACCACGGAGCAAAUGCUCAAAUUCUCAAUGCAAAUGAUGGGUUGUAGAGAGAGAUAGAAAUUUGCCACCAAGAACAGCAAGAACUCGAGCUCCAGGAGAAAAAAUCGGGAUUUUUGGAGUGAGAGAGAGAGAGAAGGGAGGAAGAAGUACGUGGAAAGGAGCCCAGGUGGGCACAGGCGACCUGUGUGCGCGGCUAGGGGGCAGGCCGCGCCAGCUGGCCGCCUGGACCAAGGAUGCCCCCAUGGCUGGCUCCAGGUGCCCCUACGUGUGAUGGCCUGGCUUAUUAGGGAUGAUAGACUACUCAUAUCAAAAAGGAAUUCCUUCUUUUCCGGGAGCCCAUUCGAACAGAACUCCCAGGUUAAGCGUGCUUGGCUUGGAGUAGUUCUAGGAUGGGUGACCGACCGGGAAGUUGAUCCCGGGUGCGCAUGAGUGAGGACAAAGUGCGCCAGGUUAAGCGUGCUUGGCUUGGAGUAGUUCUAGUAUGGGUGACCGAUCGGGAAGUUGAUCCCGGGUGCGCAUGAGUGAGGACAAAGUGCGCAGAAAAGACUAGUAUUGAUAUGUGGGGCCAGUCUAGAUCCCGCCAGGAGUAACGACCGCUGGCGGGUGUGUCCGGGGCGUUACAAGUUUGGUAUCAGAGCCGACCCUCGCGGUUACAUGGAUGUUUGCGGACAGGUGUGCGGUCAUGUUGUUCACAACGUUUGUGACCCGUCGUGGCACACGGCAUGAUACAUGUACUGGACUGGAUGCACAGACGUUUGUACCAAGAGGGAACGCUCCUGUGGCCCGACGAGGACGUCGGCUCCUCUGAGUGGUGGUGUAUGUGAUAGCCUGGCUUAUUAGGGAUGAUAGACUACUCAUAUCAAUAAGGAAUUCCUUCUUUUUCGGGAGCCCAUUUGAACAGAACUCCCAGGUUAAGCGUGCUUGGCUUGGAGUAGACCCCGGAUGGGUGACCAACCGGGAAGUUGAUCCCGGGUGUGCAUGAGUGAGGACAAAGUGCGCAGAAAAGACUAGUAUUGAUAUGUGGGGCCAGUCUAGAUCCCGCCAGGAGUAACGAUCGCCGGCGGGUGUGUCCGGGGCGUUACACUACGUCUCCUAUUUGAUGGAAAUUUUUAUUAUAAUUUUUCUGGAAUUUUUUUAACAACUUCACUUUUCAAAAAAAAUCGAAGUACGGAAAGCUGCAAAACUUCCGGAAGGCUCGAAACAAUGGUUAAACAUACGAAGCUUCAAAAACAUAAAACUUUGGUACGGCAAGGAGGAUGAAAGAUAAAGGAAAUGAAAACAUAACAAGCUUUUCUUUUUUGCUCAUAUAAAACAUAUUUGAUAGCAAGGUUGAUCAAGUCUUACUACCAAACAGGUGUUAUAUUUGAGCAAAAAGUUUCACUUCUUAUAAAGCAAUCAUGGUACCUUUAUUUCAAUGGAUAUUGUCCCCACCAUAAUGGUUUUGUAUUCGUGGUGCACAUGUAGAGGCCAAUCCCACUCUCCAACCUUCACGGUGUCAAUAUUCUCAAUAGAAUUAAGGUCAUGCCUUUUAUCAAUCUUCUUCGGAAAAUAUACCGUGUGCUCCUUCUAAUUAACAUUGAAGGUCACCUUUCCUUUAUUGCAAUCAAUAAUAGCACCUGCGGUGUUAAGAAAAGGUCUACCAAGAAUAAUAGACAUGCUCCCAUCCUCGGGCAUGUCAAGCACAACAAAGUCAGUAAGGAUCAAGCAAUUAGCAACCUCAACGGGAACAUCCUCACAAAUACCAACAGGAACGGUUGUUGACUUAUCAGCCAUUUGAAGAGAGAUAUAUGUAGGGAUUAGUUUAUCUAGAUAAAGCCUUUUGUAAAGUGAGAAAGGCAUAACACUCACUCCUGCACCAAGAUCACAUAAAGCAGUUCUCACAUAAUUAUUUUUUAUGGAGCAAGGAAUGGUGGGUAUACCUGGAUCACCAAGCUUCUCGGGAAUCUUACCACUUAAAGAGUAAUUAGAAAGCUUAAUAGAUAUUGCCUCAUUAGGAACUUUUCUUUUAUUAGUAACAAUAUCUUUCAUAUACCUCGAGUACGGAGGCAACUUAAUAGCAUCAGUCAAAGGAAUUUGAAGAAAAAGAGGUUUCAUCCAUUCACAAAAUUUAUUGUAAUGCUCUUUUUCUUUGGUUUUGAAAGACUUGCGUGGGAAUGGCAUUGAUUUCUGUACCCAUGGUUCUCUUUCCUUCCCAUGUUUUCUUGCAACAAAAUCUUCUCUACUAUACCUCUUGCGCUUGUCGUUUGCUUCUUCUUCUCGUACCUCAGGAGGAUCAAUCUUCUCAUUAUCUUUAUCAGGUUCAGCACCAUCUUCAGUUUCAGCAUCGGAAAUAGAUAUACUAUUACGAUCAACAAUAGGUUCUUCAUCAAUUAUGGGAUCAUUGGAGUUGUCAGCCUCCUUAUGUUUCUUCUUCUUCUUCGGGGAGUUGACAACGUCUUCUUCCUGCAAUUGAGAAUCUUGCUCGAUCCUCUUUGGAUGCCCCUCCAGAAAGAGGGGGUCCUCGAUGUGUGUACCUCCUCGGGCCUUUAUACCAUAUGCCUGCGUAUCAACUUGUUUGGCAUUGUUAGCAAGCAAAUAUUUUUGCACAUUAGAAAUUUGUUCAAGAUGAGUUUGAACCAUAUGAAAAUGCUUAACAAGACCUUUAACAUCAUUAACAGUUCUACUUAAAACAUUAAGCAAACUUUUGAUAGCAAGGGAAUUAUCAUGCAAUUGGCUUUGAAUCCUCUCAUUAAAGUGAUUUUGCUUGACAAUUAAAUUAUCAAGAUCAUCUAAACAUUGACCAGGGGGCUUACCAUGAGGGAUGUCACUUGCAUCGAAUUCUAAAAGAGAGUGUACCUCUACCAUAGGUGGGUGAGUGGUAGGCUCGCAUAAUUUCUCAAUAGGAGGUAGAUUCUUCACAUCUUUAGCUUUAAUACCUCUCUCUUUCAUAGACUUCUUGGCUUCUUGCAUAACUUCGGGGCUCAAGAAAAGCAUACCUCUCUUCUUUGGUGGUGGAGAUGGUUCAGGAACGGACCAAUCAUCAUGAUUUUUAGCUAUCUUGCCCAUUAGUUCUUCAGCAUCGUCCGGUGUUCUUUCCCUGAAAACACAACCAACACAAGUAUCCGGGUAGGUUCUAGAUUCAUCGGUUAGACCAACAUAAAAUAUAUCAAGCAAUUCAUUCUUAGGGAUUCCAUGUACUGAUCUAGCCUUAAGUAAAGUGCAAUACCUCCCCAAGCUUUAGGGAGGUGCUCAUCCUGCAAUUGUUUAAAGUUAUAUAUUCUUUGUAAAGCAGCAUGUUGCUUAUGAGCAGGAAAAUAUUUAGCAACAAAAGAUUGAGCUAAAUCCUGAGGACUCUUAAUGGAACCACAUGGUAGUGCAUCAUACCAUGCUUUAGCAUCUUCCUUCAAAGAGAAAGGAAGUAGCUUAGUAACAUAAUAAUUUAUCUUCUUGUCCUCUGUAGUGAAUAAGCCACCCAACUCAGUGAGUUUGGUAAGGUGUGCAAUAGCAUCAUCAUUUUCUCUGCCAUAAAAGGGGUCAGCUUCAACUGUGGAUAUAAGUGAAAGAUCAACAGAGAAAUCAAAACCAGCAUCCUCAAUGUUAAUAGGAGAUGAAGCAAAUUUAGGAUCAUGAGUAAAUUUGUUCUUCAUAGAAUGCUUUUCAAGCAGCUUCUUAACAGAAGCAGGGUCAGAGUCAGCACACUCUGUAAGUUCCCUGGAUAAAUCAUCCUCAAGUUCAAUAUAAUCAUCAUCAAGAAUUCUUUCCUUGAGACCACUCAAGUCUGGGUAACCAAAAGAUCUACCAAUGGGGUAGCGUGUAACAGGAAGUUCAAUUCCAGACUGCUUAACAGCCUUAGCAAUCUGAGACUCAAUAAAAUAACCAAGUAAACAAGGCCCAUCAAUAGUAGUAGAAGCAUCAUCAAAAGUAUCAGGCAUAGUGACAGACUCGGUAGAAGCAGCAUGUGGUGGUGGUGAAGCAAACCCACUCAUAACGGAAGGUGAAUCAAGGGUAGCGCUAGUGCUAAGAACGGUACCUUUUCUCGUAGUGGAUGGUAAAAUUGGAACCUUGGGGUCUCCUUUCUUACUCAUAGUGAAUAAAUCGCAGCAAGCAAAAUAACUCCAAAUAGACUUGUAAAUAAAGCUAUGGUCCCCAGCAACGGCGCCAGAAAAUGGUCUUGAUAACCCACAAGUGUAGGGGAUUGCAACAGUCUUCGCGGGUAAGUUAACCCAAUUUAUUGAUUCGACACAAGGGGAGCCAAAGAAUAUUUAUAAGCUUUAAUAGUUGAGUUGUCAAUUCAACCGCACCUGAAAGAUACUUGCUUGGCAACUAAAUAUUAGUAGCGACGAUGAUAUGGAAGUGACGGUGGCAACAAAAAUAAUAGUGGCAAAUCAACGAAAGUAAAACGACGCAAGUAAAGCAGCUUGUAACUAGCAUUAUUAAAACACUGUAGGCUAGGGAGAUGGAUGGUUGGUCAUGGAUGAGAGAUAUCAUGUAUUUUAAUUGGGCAAGGCAUAUAGAAAAGUAAUGAUCAUCUAGGCAUAUAUCAAACAUUAGGUAGGUAUCCCAAGGAAGUUGUGCGUGCUUGCAAUAAGAACUUGCACAACAUCUUUUGUCCUACCAUCCCGCUAUCAACGGGGCCAAAAGGAACUUAUGGAGAUUAAGGUGCUCCCGUCAAAGAGCACCGGAACAAAGCAUUAACAAUCAAUGGAUACAUGGAAUCCUCAAAUUAUAGUCUAUCCCCUUUGGUGUCCCAAGCUGUCACCAUUGGGAUUGCCGGUUCCGAACUAUAAUAGGUGCAUACUACUCAUAGGUAGGAUCUAGAACACAAAUAUAUUCAUGAAAACAUAAGGUAUUCAGAUCUGAAAUCAUGGCACUCGGGCCCAAAGUGACAAGCAUUAAGAGUAACAAGUAGUAGCAAAGAUGAUAAAGACCAUAGUAGAUGAUAGGCAACAUGCCCCCAACAAUCCGACGAACUAUUACAUGAUCUAACUCAUCCAAUCUCUCCCAUCCCCUUCACCUACAACAGGGAAUUACUCACACAUGAUAUGAUAAGCCAUGGGAGGAUGAUGGAGAGGUGAUGGUGAUGAUGAUGGCGGCGAUUUCCCCUCUCUGGAGGCCAAAUCAGCCUCCAGAUUAUCUCUCCCGAAGAAGAACCAAGGGUGGUGGUGGCUCCGCGUCGUGAACUUGCAAAACGACUUCUGUUCUGGGAUUUCUGCGUCAUGGGUAAAAAUAGGAGCCAAAGUAGGGCACCAGAGGGUGUGGGCCCCACCCAGGCGCCCUCCCGGCGGGGCCAGGGGGCAGGCCGCACCCACAGGUCGCCUGGGGGCCCUGUGGCUCCCCUCUCUCCCAUCUUCUGGCCCAUGGUUCCUUCCGGUGCGUGGAUUUUCUCUAUUUUUAUGGGAAUUAUUCGGGACGUCUAAAUAUCCAUUUUCCUGCGCAGAAGAAAACCAUACAAGUAGCUCUGCUGAAAACAGCGCCAGUCCGGAUUAGUUUCAUUCAAAUCAUGCAAGAAUGAGGCCAAAACAAUAGCAAAAGUCUUUGGAAAAGUCGAUACGUUUGAGACGCAUCACACGACAAAAUACCCGAUUCCUGUAGUGAUUCUUUUACGUUUCCCAAAAAAAUUAUAUUGUUUCCAAUCAGGAAUAUGUCAUCCACAUAUAAUAUUAGAAACGCUAUGGAGCUCCCACUCACUUUCUUGUAAAUACAAGAUUCUCCAUAAACUUGUAUAAACCCAAAAGGCCUUGAUCACCUCAUCAAAGCGUUGAUUCCAUCUCCGAGAUGCUUGCACCAUCUCAUAAAUGGAUCGAUGGAGAUUGCACACCUUGUCAGUAUUCUCUGGAUCGACAAAACCUUCCGGUUGCAUCAUAUACAACUCUUCCUUAAGGAAACCGUUAAGAAACACUAUUUUGACAUCCAUUAGCCAAAUUUCAUAAUCGAAAAAUGUAGUUAUUGCUAACAUGAUUCUCAUGGAUUUAAGCAUCACCACGGGUGAGAAAGUCUCAUUGUAGUAAACUCCUUGAACUUGUGAAAAACCCUUUGCUACAAGUCGAGCUUUAUAGACAGUAACAUUAUCGUCCGCAUCUGUCUUCUUCUUAAAGAUCCAUUUAUUCUGAAUGGCCUUUCGCCCUUCAGGUAAUACUUCCAAAGUCCAUACAUUGUUUUCAUACAUGGAUAUUAUCUCAAAUAUCAUGGACUCUAACCAUUGGUGUGAAUUCGGGCCCACCAUCGCUUCUCCAUAGCUCGUAGGUUCAUUGUUGUCUGACAACAUGACUGUCAAGACAGGGUUACCAUACCAUUGAGGUGCAGUGCGUGCCCUUGUCAUCCUACGAGGUUCGAUAGCAAUUUGAUCUGAAGCUCCAUGAUCAUCAUCAUUAGCUUCCUCUUCAAUUGAUGUAGGCUCCAUAGAAACAUCUUUCUACGUUGCGCUACUCUCUGGUUGAAGUGAAGGUUCAACAACCUCAUCAAGUUCUAUCUUCCUCCCACUCAAUUCUUUAGAGAGAAACUCUUUCUCAAGAAAUGUCCCGUUCUUAAUGACAAACACUUUGCCUUCGGAUUAGAGAUAGAAAGUAUACCCAAGUGUCUCUUUUGGGUAUCCUAUGAAGACACAUUUCUCCACUUUGGGUUCCAGCUUUUCUGGCCGAAACUUUUUGACAUAAGGAUCGCAUCCCCAAACUUUAAGAAACGACAACUUCAGUUUCUUGCCAAACCAUAGUUCAUACAACUUCGUCUCAAUGGAUUUAGAUGGUGCCCUAUUUAAAGUUAAUGCUACUGUAUCUAAUGCAUAACCCCAAAAUGAUAACGGAAAAUCGGCAUGAGACAUCAUAGACUUACCAUAUCCAAUAAAGUACGAUUACGACGUUCGGACACACCAUUACGCCGUGGUGUUCCAGGCGGUGUCAACUAUGGAACAAUUACACAAUGUCUUAGGUGAGUGCCAAACUCAUAACUCAGAUAUUCUCCUCCUCGAUCAGAUCAUAGGAAUUUAAUCUUCUUGUUACGAUGAUUCUCAACUUCACUCUAAAAUUGCUUGAACUUUUCAAACGUUUUAGAGUUGUGUUUCAUUAAGUAGAUAUACCCAUAUCUACUUAAGUCAUCAAUGAAGGUGAGAACAUAAUGAUAUCCACCGUGUGCCUCAAUGCUCAUCGAACCGCACACAUCAGUAUGUAUGAUUUCAAAUAAGUCACUUGCCCGCUCCAUUAUUUUCGGAAAACGGGGUCUUAGUCAUCUUGCCCGUGAGGCAUGGUUCACAUGUGUCAAGUGAUUCAAAAUCAAGUGACUCCAAAAGUCCAUAAACAUGGAGCUUCUUCAUGCGUUUUACACCAAUAUGACCUAAGAGGUAGUGCCAUAAGAAAGUGGUACUAUCAAUAUUAACUUUAGAUCUUUUGGCAUCAAUGUAAUGAACAUGUGUGCUAUCACUAUCGAGAUUCAAUAAGAAUAAAACCCUCACAUUGGGUGCAUGACCAUAAAAUAUAUUACUCAUAUAAAUAGAACAACCAUUAUUCUCUGAUUUAAAUGAGUAAUUGUCUCGCAAUAAACAAGAUCUAGAUAUAAUGUUCAUGCUCAACGCAGACAAUAAAUUACAAUUAUUCAGGUUCAUCACUAAUCCCGAUGGUAAUCAAAAAGCGAGUGGGUCGACGGCGAUCACAUCAACCUUGGAACCAUUUUCCACGCGCAUCAUCACUUCGUCCUUCGCCAACCACCAUCUAUUCUAGAGUUCCUCCUUUGAGUUGCAAAUGUGACCAACCGAACCAGUAUCAAAUACCCAGGCACUUCAACGAGAGUUAGUAAGAUUACACAUCAAUAACAUGUAUAUCACAUAUACCUUGUUUAGUGUUGACCGCCUUCUUGUCAGCCACAUACUUGGGGAAUUCCUCUUCAAGUUGAUGGGGAAUGUUGCAUGGGAAAAACAAGUUUUCCUACGCACACAUAAAAUCUAUCUAUGGUGAUUACCAUCUACGAGAGGAGAGAUUGUAUCUACAUACCCUUGUAGAUCGCUAAGCGGAAGCGUAUAUAAUGCGGUUGAUGUAGUCGAACAUCUUCGCGAUCCAAAUCGCAGUACGUCCCGCGAUCUCAUCAUCUGUCCCGCGAUCCCAUCACGAUCCAUCCCAAUUUAGUGCCGAACAGGCGGUACCCCCGCGUUCAACACAUGUAUAGCUCGAUGACGAUCUCCGACUUCUUGAUCCAACAAGAGGGGGUAGAUAGGUAACUGAGUUCUCCGACAGCCUAACGACGUGGCUGCGAUGGUGGUGGAGUUGAUCCGGCACGGUUUCGCCAUGCACCGUCGAACCUAAUCUAGAGGAAGAACGAACUAGAGGGAGGGAGAUGGGUUGCGCCUUAGAUUGUGUGUUGGCUGCCCUCUCUCCCCUCUAGUAUAUAUAGGAGGGAGGGGGAAGGGGUGGCACCCUAGGGUUUCCCCUAGGGUUGGCCGGCCGCACCCAAGAGGAGGAGUCCUCCUCCAAGUGGGAUUGGUGGAGGUGCUAGGAGGACUCCUCCUCCUAGUCGAACUCCUCCGCUUCUCCACUAUUUUGGCUGCAUAGGCCCAUGAGUCUGGCCUCCCCGCCCACUAGGGGCUCGUGCGCCACCUCUUAGGCCUAUGUGGCCCUCCGGGGUGGUUGGCCCCUCCUGGUGAACCCCCGGAACCCAUUCGUCACUCCCGGUACACUAUCAAAAAUGCCCGAAACAUUUCCGGAGCCCAGAUACCCUCUUCCUAUAUAUCAAUCUUCAUCUCCGAACCAUUCUGAAACUCCUCGUGACAUCCGGGAUCUCAUCCGGGACUCCAAACAACCUACGGUCACCAACAUACAUAACUCAACUAUACCGAAACAUCACCAAACCUUAAGUGUGCAGACCCUGCGGGUUCGUGAACUAUACAGACAUGACCGAGACACUCUCCGGUCAAUAACCAAUAGUGGGACCUAGAUGCUCAUAUUGGCUCCUACAUAUUCUACAAAGAUCUUUAUCGGUCAAACCUCUAUGUCAAGGAUUCAGUUAAUCCCAUAUAUUAUUCCCUUUGUCCAUCGGUAUGUUACUUGCCCGAGAUUCGAUCAUCGGUAUCUCUGUACCUAGUUCAAUCUCGUUACCGACAAGUCUCUUUACUCGUUCUCUAAUACAAAAUCCCAUGACUAACUCUUUAGUCACAUUGCUUGCAAUGCUUGUUGUGAUGUUGUAUUACCGAGCGGGCCCUGAGAUACCUUCCCGUCACACGGAGUGACAAAUCCGAGUCUUGAUCCAUGCCAACCCAACAGACACCUUCAGUGAUACUUGUAGAGCACCUUUAUAGUCACUCAGUUACGUUGUGACGUUUCAUACACACAAUGCAUUCUUCCGGUGUCCGGGAGUUGCAUGAUCUCAUGGUCAUAGAAACAGAUACUUGACAUGCAGAAAACAAUAGCAAUAAACUGACACGAUCAUAUGCUAGGUUCAUAGUUUGGGUCUUGUCCAUCACAUCAUUCUCCUAAUGACGUGAUCCCGUUAUCAAAUGACUACUCUUGUCUAUGGUCAGGAAACCUUGACCAUCUUUGAUCAACAAGCUAGCCCAUUAAAGGCUCACUAUGGACAAAGUGUUGUCUACGUAUCCACACAUGCAUUUGAGUUUCCAUUCAACAUAAUUCUAGCAUGAAUAAUAAACAUUUAUCAUGAACAAGGAAAUAUAAUAAUAACUAUUUUAUUAUUGCCUCUAGGGCAUAUUUCCAACAGUUUGGUUGUUGCCCGUGUUGGUUGUAACGUGAAUUAUUUGAUUAUGGGAAGGAACCGGAUCACUAACACUGCGGGAGUCAUUCAUAUAGAAAAUAAAUUACAAAAGAGAACAUUUUUUAAAAUUACGAACAAUUUUGUAGAACAAAUGCAAUUUGUUUUUGAAAAACAGGAACACAAAUUGAUAAGAAAAAUAUUUCUAAAAGUUUCAAAUAAUUAUUUGAAAAUACGAAAAAAAUUUGAAAACAUGGACAUUAUUCGAAUAUGUGAACAAAUUUGGAAAGCUAGGACAUUAUUUGAAAUUCCCAAACAUUUUUUAAUUUGUGAAAUAAAAGAAAAAUUAGAUCAUUUUUUAAAUUCUUAGAACUUUCAAAUUCGUGAACAAAAUUGGAAUUCGAAACAUUUUCUGAAUACCCGUACAUCUUUUAAAAUUUUCAAAACAUGAACAUUGUCAAAAUUUGUGAACAAGAUUUGAAAAUAAAAAUAUGUUUUGAAAUUCUCCAAAAUUGUUGGUAUGAACAAAAAUAAAAAAAUAUAUUUUUUNNNNNNNNNNNNNNNNNNNNNNNNGAAAAAAAAGCAUAAAAAACUGGUUAAAAAACCUUUUUAAAAUCAGAAUAAACCGACUGGGAUUUAUUUAGAAUAUUCUCAAAACCAGGAUCGGUGAAACGCACACACCUUGCUUCUGAAUGGGCCGUCCCGUCUUGGUCGAUCGCUUCGAUAGUUUGUGCGGGCGCCACGUCAUUUUGACGCAUAAUGCGUUAAAUAGAAACUCCCACUAUAUUUGGUGGGUCAGCAGCAUUCAAAGGUGCGAUGGGCCAAUAAUUCACAAGCUCUUGGGCCUUUGUAUUAAAAGGGAUUCGUUUUUUUAUUUCUAGGUCAAAUACUUUCAUGCAACGACUACAAUUUGCCGGGCCCAAACAGCGAGAUUCCACUGGACCUUUUGCAAGUUCGUGACGCCGGACGAGAAAAAUUGGUGCCGGCGGCCCCUAAAAUAUCUCCACCGCGCAAGCUGCGGGAGCACGCAGACGAAUGGGCCUCUGACAGUGGACCCCACCGAACGAGAACACGUAAACCACAAGAUCCAGUCACGACUAAAAAGCUCCCCCUCCCCCACGUCUGGACGGAGUCCCCUUCCAUCUCUCCCCCCUUUCUUCUUCCUCCCCACGCCAGCCGCCGCCCGGGACCUACCUAGGGUUUCCCCGCGCCGCCGCCGAAUCGCAGAGCAGGAGGAGGAGAGGAGAUGGGCACGCCGGAGACCUCGCGGGAGCCGUGCCCGGACCGCAUCCUCGACGACGUUGGCGGCGCGUUCGGGAUGGGGGCGGUGGGCGGCUCCAUCUUCCAUUUCCUCAAGGGCACCUACAACUCGCCCAACGGCGAGCGCCUGCUCGGCGGGGCCCAGCAGGUGCGCUUGAACGCGCCGCGCGUCGGCGGGAGCUUCGCCGUCUGGGGCGGCCUCUUCUCCGCCUUCGACUGCACCAUGGUCUUCGUGCGCCAGAAGGAGGACCCCUGGAACUCCAUCAUAGCCGGCGCCGCCACGGGAGGCUUCCUCUCCAUGCGCCAGGGCCCCGGCGCCGCCGGACGCUCCGCGCUCAUGGGCGGCUGCCUCCUCGCGCUCAUCGAGGGCGCCGGCCUCAUGCUCAACCGCGUCCUCGCCGCGCCGCAGAACCUCCCGCCGCUCCCCACCGACGACCCCAACCUGGCCGGCGCGAUGGUGGGGGGAGCCGGCGGCUUCCAAGGCGUUGGCGGCUUCCCAAGCAUGCCCCAGCAACCCGUGCCCACUGCGGAGGUCGUCAGCCCCAGCGGCGGCGGUAGCUGGUUCGGGGGCCUCUUCGGCAAGAAGGAGGAGGAGAAGAAGCCCAGCGGCAGCGGCAGCGGCGGCAAGUCGGAGAUAUUAGAGGGCUUUGACACGCCCAGCCCUCCGAUACCAUCCUUCGACCUCAAGUGAAAAAAAAGGUGCGGUUUUUCUCUCCGAUCUGUAUUUUGGAUUCAGUUCAGAAAUUUCCCCUUGCUGUUUUAAAGUUCGAUCCGGUUUCUCUCUUAGCUUAUUUACUUGGUGAUGCAGCCGUCCGCGGUUAGGACUUAGGAGUCCAUGUCGUGUACAUCAAGAAGCCUUAUUACCUCCUCAUUAUCAGAGACGAUCGAUCGCGUUAUAUAUAC
rnacentral:lncRNA from 1 species